rnacentral:lncRNA from 1 species
UUUGCCUAAGCAAUAUAAUAGAACGACAAAUAUAUAGUUAAGAUGGUAACAUCAGUGACUCGAUGACCAUACAUUUAUAAUAGUAGCAAAAUAUCAUUGUGACAAUAUCUCUAACAACAAUAUAAUAGGUAUGACUCGAUGACCAUACAUCGAUGCCACAAAAUAACAUUGUGACAAUAUCAAUGACUCGAUGACCAUACAUCAAUAAUACUAGCAAAGAAAAAUGGGCCAAAGCAAUAUAAUAGAACAGACAACAAAUGUGGACGUAGAAAUUGUUUUCCUUGCCUUAGUUUGAAGAUAUGUCCCACAAUUCAAAUAUGCCAACAUACUUCUUCAUCUACAUCACACAAACAAAGUAGAAAUAAGUGGCAGUUGCAAUGUGGCAUGGACUGAAUGGACAAACAAAGUAGCAAUCAGUGGUAUGAACUGAUGGACAAUUGUACAAACAAUUACAAUUUAUACAAGAACAAAUCAACAAAGUAGCAAUCAAUCCGUGGCAGAUCAGUGGCUUCUAGCAGUGGAAAUUUAUCAAAAAAGCUUCAGAUUUGUUUAAAAGACAGAGGAAAUUUACCUUGGUAAUUUGUAGAUGGAUGCAGUACUGGAUGGAUUGGACAUUGGGUGGCUUCUCCUUCUAGCCUGUCGGCUGGCGGACUGAAGCGGUGACUGCCGACGGCGACGGAGGCCGGAGGAAGCCCGCAGCGGCGCUGCCCCGCAUGGACCACAGCCAUGGAG